rnacentral:rRNA from 1 species
CGAUGAUGCCCAGCUUGCUGGGCGGAUUAGUGGCGAACGGGUGAGUAAUACGUGAGUAACCUGCCCCUGACUCUGGGAUAAGCCUGGGAAACCGGGUCUAAUACUGGAUACGACUCCUCACCGCAUGGUGGGGGGUGGAAAGGGUUCACUGGUUUUGGAUGGGCUCACGGCCUAUCAGCUUGUUGGUGGGGUAAUGGCUCACCAAGGCGACGACGGGUAGCCGGCCUGAGAGGGUGACCGGCCACACUGGGACUGAGACACGGCCCAGACUCCUACGGGAGGCAGCAGUGGGGAAUAUUGCACAAUGGGCGAAAGCCUGAUGCAGCGACGCCGCGUGAGGGAUGACGGCCUUCGGGUUGUAAACCUCUUUCAGUAGGGAAGAAGCGAAAGUGACGGUACCUGCAGAAGAAGCGCCGGCUAACUACGUGCCAGCAGCCGCGGUAAUACGUAGGGCGCAAGCGUUGUCCGGAAUUAUUGGGCGUAAAGAGCUCGUAGGCGGUUUGUCGCGUCUGCUGUGAAAGCCCGGGGCUCAACCCCGGGUCUGCAGUGGGUACGGGCAGACUAGAGUGCAGUAGGGGAGACUGGAAUUCCUGGUGUAGCGGUGAAAUGCGCAGAUAUCAGGAGGAACACCGAUGGCGAAGGCAGGUCUCUGGGCUGUUACUGACGCUGAGGAGCGAAAGCAUGGGGAGCGAACAGGAUUAGAUACCCUGGUAGUCCAUGCCGUAAACGUUGGGCACUAGGUGUGGGGGACAUUCCACGUUCUCCGCGCCGUAGCUAACGCAUUAAGUGCCCCGCCUGGGGAGUAC